rnacentral:rRNA from 1 species
AGUGAACGCUGGCGGCAGGCCUAACACAUGCAAGUCGAGCGGAUGAAGGGUGAGUGCUUCCGCAUUCAGCGGCGGACGGGCGGGUGAGUCAUAGGAACCUGGGUGGCAGCUGGGGAGAGCGGGAGAAAGCGGGGGCAAUUACGGUAAAACUCCAGAGGGCGAAAGUGGGGAAUCAUCGGACCUCACGCCAUUAGCUGAGCCAAGGUGGGAUUAGCUAGUUGGUGGGGUAAAGGCCCACCAAGGCGACGAUCCGUAACUGGUCUGAGAGGAUGAUCAGCCACACUGGAACUGAGACACGGUCCAGACUCCUACGGGAGGCAGCAGUGGGGAAUAUUGGACAAUGGGCGAAAGCCUGAUCCAGCCAUGCCGCGUGGGUGAAGAAGGUCUUCGGGUUGUAAAGCCCUUUUAUUGGGGAGGAAGGGCAGUAGGUUAAUACCUCGCUGUUCUGACGGUACCAACAGAAUAAGCACCGGCUAACUUCGUG